CCCGGCCUGUCUCUUUUACGUGUAUUUUUUCCUUCCUCCCACAAAUAAAAAAUAUCACAGUGUAUUUAAACAAAACAAAAACCUAUGCAUGUACUUUGAAGCAGGUAGCUCUGUGAGCAGUAGCAAAUUCAUAUGGGUCUGUAGCAACCUCAAUUCUUGCCUCCUCAGAAGAAAGAAUUCCACCGAGGGGCAUAAGGCAGAGUGAGACAGCAAGGCAAGUUUUAGAGCAGGAGUGAAAGUUUAUUAAAAACCUUUAGAGCAGGAAUAGAAAGAAGUAAAGUACACUUGGAAGAGGGUCAAGUGGGUGACUUGAGAGAUGAAGUGCCCUGUUUGACCUUUAACUAGGGUUAUUACAUGUUGGCAUACUUCCGAGGGGAGAGGGUUGCAUCCCUUCUCCCCUGAUUCUUCCCUAGGGGUGGGCUGUUUGCAUACACAGGGGCUUGCCAGCACUUGGCAGAGGAGCAUGUGCAGUGUCUGUACUGAAAUUGUACACAUGCUCACUCGAGGUGCUCAAGAAUGAUCUUAUACCUGUUAAACGCCACCAUUCCGCCUCUUAGUGAGCAUGCUUGAGCCCACUCGUCCAACUCCUGAAAUCUUAUCAAGAAGCAGUUGAUCACUAGUUUCAGGUGUUUCUAUCCUUUGGGAGACUGCCUUUUCCUGGUGCUGGCUGCAACCAAUUGUUAUUUUAGAGAGAUACUGUAACAAUCACCUGAGAUAUCUUGGUAAGUGAGUAGGGAGUGUUCAGCCCUCCCCUACCCUGCUCAUGUCUGACUAGCUACCUACUGUAACAGCUCUGGAUUUAACUACUGUUUUUUACAAUUAGGCUGAAAUAAGUGGAGACUUUGCUGAUCUUCUUACCAAGGACAGAGGGCUAUGGAGGCUGAUACAGCAGGCACCUCAUGGAAACAGAGACUGGAUCUCACUACUUGCCUAGCUCUUGAACUCCUGGCCUCAAGCAAUCCUCCUGCCUCAACCUCCCAAAGUGCUGGGAUUACAGGAGUGAGCCACUAUGCCCCACAUGAUUUGAAAGUGAGAAGAAGCAGGCAAGUAUUCCUAUUUUCUCUAUUUAGAGAAAACAGUCAAGCAAAUAAACCACCAAACCUAGAUGGGGAAGAGACUGGCCCAGGUGCUCCAGUGGCCAGCAGAAGUAUGUUUAUCUGAUUUCUUCCUCUACAACCAACCAGAGAAAACUCUCUACUUUUAAAGAGCUCAACUGAUUCGGUCAGGCUGCGGCAGGAUAAUCUUUCUUUUGCCAAAAAUCAUAGCAUGAAGACUGUGUACAUCAAGGGCCAGGAAUCAUGAAAGACAUCUAAAAAUUCUGCCUACUACAGUGACCGGGGUCAUUUAAGGGAUCAUUAAAAGAUGAUAUAAUAAUAUUUACUCUCAAGUGAAAGUGGCUUGGAGCUCUAGAGUUAGUUUAUAUUUAUAGAAACUGUCAAUUCGAUAAGUAACUUUCAGUUUCUGGAAAAAGUGAGUAUUGGUAUGCAGCAGGUCAAGCUAUCAUGCUUGAUUGCCUCUGUGAACUUAGAUUGCUUGACCUGCCUUAAUCUUAAUUCCCACAUUUAUUAACUUGGAAUUUAAUAAUGCUUAUCUCGUAGAGUCAUUCCAAGCAUAAGUUAUAAGAUUUCCUUUAAAGAAUUUUGCAAACCAUAAGGAAUGAAACAAAUGUGAGUCAUUGCUAUUUUCAUCAUGUAUUAUUACUUUUCUUUGAAGCCCUAAACAGCUGUAAUAUUUGGGUUUGUUUUAUUUAACCUAUUUAUGGAAAAGCAUAGCUUUAAUUUUCAAUUUAAGAAUGUUAUGAUGUCUGAUUUCGUGUAGGCUUUUUCAUUUUCUUUUCUUCUUCUGAUUCUUUUUUUAAUGUAGGAGUUACAAAGGUGCUCCUGUGCUUCUGAUGGCAGAUUUAGCACACGAAUUUCUGGGAGCAGCAUUUGUACAUCAAAGGAUGUUCUUCUUAAAUAAUCUGCUAAUUAAAUUAAAGCUGCUUCAGAGCAUCUUUUGCAGUAUGGAACUUUUUGAUACUGUGUUAAUGUUUUAUAAUCAAGUCUCCAAACGGAUUUCUCCAAAACACAUGGUGAAUGGGUGAAAUAUGGAGUUAGAGUUUGUGUGUGUAUUAAUUUUUAUGACAGGAAAAUAAAUAAGGGAAAAAGACUAGGCAUAGGAAUAAACACCUCUUUUACUUACCAUAAAAAAGUAGCUUCUUUAUUGUUAAAAAUCACUGAACAUGAACAUGAAAAGCAAAAGAAAAACACAGUCGAAGAGCCUCUUUAACUACCAUUCUUGUGGUAGAGGUAGGACUGAUAUGCAUGAAUAGUUUUCCAAAGGAUCAGAGGAAAGAAGGAAGAAUAUGUCCAGAACACGGCAAACUAAAUAAUCAUCAGUAAAAUGGAGUUUCAUUGAAUUAGUAUUCCCUGAAGGCAAAAUAUAAUAGUAGGAAGUCCUGUCAGUCUAAUUCAAG
rnacentral:lncRNA from 1 species